GACGAACGCUGGCGGCGUGCUUAACACAUGCAAGUCGAACGGAAAGGCCCUGCUUUUGUGGGGUGCUCGAGUGGCGAACGGGUGAGUAACACGUGAGUAACCUGCCCUUGACUUUGGGAUAACUUCAGGAAACUGGGGCUAAUACCGGAUAGGAGCUCCUGCUGCAUGGUGGGGGUUGGAAAGUUUCGGCGGUUGGGGAUGGACUCGCGGCUUAUCAGCUUGUUGGUGGGGUAGUGGCUUACCAAGGCUUUGACGGGUAGCCGGCCUGAGAGGGUGACCGGCGACAUUGGGCCUGAGAUACGGCCCAGACUCCUACGGGAGGCAGAGGUGGGGAAUAGUGCACAAUGGGCGGAAGCCUGAUGCAGCAACGCCGCGUGCGGGAAGACGGCCUUCGGGUUGUAAACCGCUUUCGCCUGUGACGAAGCGUGAGUGACGGUAAUGGGUAAAGAAGCACCGGCUAACUACGUG
rnacentral:rRNA from 1 species